rnacentral:lncRNA from 1 species
UCUAGCUUACAGGAAGGUGGGAGGCCACAUGGAGAAGAACCAAGGCUCCUGAGCCAGGAGUCAGCACCCACUGCCAACGUGAGGGAGGCAUCUGGGACCUUCCAUUUCUGCCGAACCACCGAGUGCAGUCGUGUGGGGAGCGCAGGAGAAACCAGCAGAGGAGCAGCCUGCCAGCUCAAGGAUCCGGGAAAAACAGUAAACCACAUUGUUCUUGGCCACUAAGCUCUGGGGUGAUUUGUCACAGGGCUGAAAAUAGCCGAUGCACAGCCUGCUUGUGAGUUUCACAUUUACUUACUCGACAUGGAUGGUGCUGCUUGAGUGUCAUGUUUGUAUUAGGAAGCAGUGAAAUGAGACUUCAGAAGCUGGCUGACACCAGACUCAUGCUUUGCAAAUCAGGAUGGGCUGACAAUUAAGAAGGAAAUAGAACAGAACAGAUGUCAGCAUCACACAUAGCAAAGUUGGUAAAGAAAGGCCCAAGUCAAGAGCGGUCUCCUGACCAAGGUGUCUGUAUUACUCAGGAUCAAGUCAGGACACGGAUGCCACAGAGCGUUUUGAACAAGGUAAGUUUGAUAGAAAGAGUUAUCAAUAGGAGAAUGAAGUAACAGAGAAUUUGACUGCGAGAGUUAAAGAGAACUGUAAAGAAUAGAGGGAUAUGAGGAGCAAUAAGAGGGAUAUAAGGACAAUCAGAUAUAAGGAGCAGACACUGCCCUGGGUGAGGCACGGUGUCCAAGGAAGGGCCUUGACCUCCCUGGACUGAGAUCCUGGAGGGGACUAGCAUGGCUCCCUGGAUGGCAGAAAAGCCACUGUGGUGUUGUGUUGGUAGAAUGUACCAGAUUGUCCCUGUGCGUCGGUAGGGAGGGCUUUUCAAAGGGAAUUGUCAAGCCUCAGAACUCGCUAGGAGCUGGGGUAGCUGCUGGCCGCUAGGUGCUCAUGGAACCGGGAGCUGAGGAGGCUACCCUCUGCAGGAGGCCAGGCUGCUUCUGUGUGUGGCUUGGACCAUGGAACCUCUAGGUCGUCUGCCUGGGAUGAAGGUCAGGUGGCUGGCUUGCUAGAAGAUCAGGCUUGCAGGGUCCUGGGCCUAUGUCUACACGAGGCUGGGAAUGGAGUCCUAGGCUGGGGCCCCAGCCUGAACUGUCUGGGCUCCUGCUAUGCCACUGCUGCGUGAGCUGAGAGCUGAAAGAAUAUACUGCAGCCAGCAUUGGAGAAAGGAGCACCUUCUGGAACUCAGCACAGGAGAAACUCUCAUCUCCCUCUAGCACCCUCCACAGACAAGGCUUAAUGUCCUACUGGGUGGCAAAGGAGAAAUAUUUACAGGGCCCAAUUGUGUUGUCACAGAGCAUGCACAAUGAGUGGAUGUGAAACUGGGCUGUAACGCAUCAGUAACCAGUACCAUGUCACAAUCAGAAACAUAGGUACAAAGAACUCAUCACCUCAGGACAAUUUCCCCAGUGUGCCAGCACUGUGUCCCCUAGAGAGAUCAAGGACAUCAAUCUCUAAUAGGGUGACAGAUGUGUCCUGCACUCUACUAGGUGUCUGAUAUCCAAGAAGGAAAUGUAACAUCUGGUCCUUCCUCAAAGAACGUACAGUGUGGCUGAAGAAGCAAGAAUAUAACGCAAGAAACAGAAACAAAUGACAAUAUACUGUCAGGUGUCAAACAAUCCUUUUCCCCAAGAAACUAUAGAGGUGACAGAUCUUUUUCACUGUUGUUUUCGUGUUCUUAUCUCUCCCUAAUUCUCCACAGACACACCCAAACUGCUUUCUGUUUAGUUAUUUAUUAAAUUCCACAAAAAAGUAUAUUUCUCUACAAGCUUUAAAAACCACAAAUAAAUGCUACUUUAAAAUCA